UACGGAGGAUCCAAGCGUUAUCCGGAAUCAUUGGGUUUAAAGGGUCCGUAGGCGGUCUAGUAAGUCAGUGGUGAAAGCCCAUCGCUCAACGGUGGAACGGCCAUUGAUACUGCUGGACUUGAAUUAUUGGGAAGCAACUAGAAUAUGUAGUGUAGCGGUGAAAUGCUUAGAGAUUACAUGGAAUACCAAUUGCGAAGGCAGGUUGCUACCAAUUGAUUGACGCUGAUGGACGAAAGCGUGGGGAGCGAACCGG
rnacentral:rRNA from 1 species